rnacentral:rRNA from 1 species
CGCACGGGUGCGUAACGCGUAUGCAAUCUACCUUGUACAGGGGGAUAGCCCAGAGAAAUUUGGAUUAAUACCCCAUGGUGUUUAAGAGUGGCAUCACUUUUUUACUAAAGUUUAGGCGGUACAAGAUGAGCAUGCGUCCCAUUAGCUAGUUGGUAUGGUAACGGCAUACCAAGGCUACGAUGGGUAGGGGUCCUGAGAGGGAGAUCCCCCACACUGGUACUGAGACACGGACCAGACUCCUACGGGAGGCAGCAGUGAGGAAUAUUGGUCAAUGGUCGGAAGACUGAACCAGCCAUGCCGCGUGCAGGAAGACGGUCCUAUGGAUUGUAAACUGCUUUUAUACAGGAAGAAACCCUCUCACGAGUGGGAGCUUGACGGUACUGUAUGAAUAAGCAUCGGCUAACUCCGUGCCAGCAGCCGCGGUAAUACGGAGGAUGCGAGCGUUAUCCGGAAUCAUUGGGUUUAAAGGGUCCGUAGGCGGUUUAAUAAGUCAGUGGUGAAAUCUGGUCGCUCAACGAUCAAACUGCCAUUGAUACUGUUAGACUUGAAUAAUUGUGAAGUAACUAGAAUAUGUAGUGUAGCGGUGAAAUGCUUAGAUAUUACAUGGAAUACCAAUUGCGAAGGCAGGUUACUAACAAUUUAUUGACGCUGAUGGACGAAAGCGUGGGGAGCGAACAGGAUUAGAUACCCUGGUAGUCCACGCCGUAAACGAUGGAUACUAGCUGUUCGACGCAAGUUGAGUGGCUAAGCGAAAGUGAUAAGUAUCCCACCUGGGGAGUACGCACGCAAGUGUGAAACUCAAAGGAAUUGACGGGGGCCCGCACAAGCGGUGGAGCAUGUGGUUUAAUUCG